rnacentral:rRNA from 1 species
UACGUAGGAGGCAAGCGUUGUCCGGAAUUACUGGGCGUAAAGCGCACGCAGGCGGUCUGCUAAGUUUGGAGUGACAGUUGGUGGCUUAACUGCCAAAGUGCUUCGAAAACUGACAGACUUGAGGGCUUCAGAGGGACACGGAAUUCCGGGUGGAGUGGUGAAAUGCGUAGAGAUCCGGAGGAACACCAAAGGCGAAGGCAGUGUCCUGGGGAGUACCUGACGCUCAGGUGCGAAAGCCAGGGGAGCGAACGGG